GCAGCACUCUUGGCGGCCGUCAUUGCUGCCGAAGAGAUAACUGUUGGAAGUGGAGGAGGUGGAACUGGCAGCGGAUGCCCGGACACCUCAGCGUGCACCAAAAGCUGCAAGAAACAGGGCUACAGCGUUGGGAAUCUGCCUUGAGCCUCUGCUUACAGUUUGUGCGUGCUUGUAAUAUUGAGCCAAUUCGAUAAUUAAGUGGCAAUAAAGUUUACCACGUUUAUCAUGCACUGAGGUCUUGCUAAA